rnacentral:rRNA from 1 species
GACGAACGCUGGCGGCGUGCUUAACACAUGCAAGUCGAACGGAAAGGCCCUGCUUUUGUGGGGUGCUCGAGUGGCGAACGGGUGAGUAACACGUGAGUAACCUGCCCUUGACUUUGGGAUAACUUCAGGAAACUGGGGCUAAUACCGGAUAGGAGCUCCUGCUGCAUGGUGGGGGUUGGAAAGUUUCGGCGGUUGGGGAUGGACUCGCGGCUUAUCAGCUUGUUGGUGGGGUAGUGGCUUACCAAGGCGUUGACGGGUAGCCGGCCUGAGAGGGUGACCGGCCACAUUGGGACUGAGAUACGGCCCAGACUCCUACGGGAGGCAGCAGUGGGGAAUAUUGCACAAUGGGAGGAAGCCUGAUGCAGCAACGCCGCGUGCGGGAUGACGGCCUUCGGGUUGUAAACCGCUUUCGCCUGUGACGAAGCGUGAGUGACGGUAAUGGGUAAAGAAGCACCGGCUAACUACGUG